CAAGCGUCUCCGAGGCAUCGCCCUCAGCCAGCUGCCGCGUCCCGGCACCGCGCAGAAGAGGCACUCGAGCUUCUUCCGCGCGGCCUCUGCUGGGGCCAGGAGCGGGGACGCCGACAGCGACAGACCCCGGAGUCCAGUCAGUACGGUCCGGCCGUCGGAACCGCCAUGACCCACUUCAACAAGGGCCCUUCCUAUGGGCUGUCCGCCGAGAUCAAGAACAAGAUUGCAUCCAAGUAUGAUCACCAGUCAGAGGAGGAUCUGCGCAAUUGGAUAGAAGAGGUGAUGGGCAUGAGCAUCAGCACCACCUUCCAGCUGGGCCUGAAGGAUGGCAUCAUCCUGUGUGAACUCAUAAACAAGAUACAGCCAGGCUCUGUGAAGAAGGUCAACGAAUCCUCCCUAAACUGGCCUCAGUUGGAGAACAUUGGCAACUUUAUUAAAGCUAUUCAGGUUUAUGGUAUGAAACCACACAACAUAUUUGAAGCAAACGAUCUUUUUGAGAAUGGCAACAUGACCCAGGUUCAGACUACACUGGUGGCUCUAGCAGGUCUGGCUAAAACAAAAGGAUUCCAUACGACUAUUGACAUCGGAGUCAAGUAUGCAGAGAAACAAACAAGACAUUUUGAUGAAGGAAAAUUAAAGGCUGGUCAAAGUGUAAUUAGUUUGCAGAUGGGAACCAACAAAUGUGCCAGGCAGGCAGGCAUGACAGCCUAUGGGACUAGGAGGCAUCUCUAUGAUCCCAAAAUGCAAACCGACAAACCAUUUGACCAGACCACGAUUAGUCUGCAGAUGGGUACCAACAAAGGAGCCAGCCAGGCUGGGAUGUUAGCACCAGGUACCAGAAGAGACAUCUAUGAUCAGAAGCUAACAUUACAGCCAGUGGACAACUCGACCAUUUCUCUACAGAUGGGGACCAAAAAAGUUGCUUCCCAGAAAGCAUUGAGUGUGUUUGGGCUUGGGCAGCAAUUGUAUGACCCUAAAUACUGUGCUGCUCCCACAGAACCUGUCAUUCACAACGGAAGCCAGGGCACAGGAACCAAUGGGUCAGAAAUCAGUGAUAGUGAUUAUCAGGCAGAAUACCCGGAUGACUAUCAGGGCGAGUACCCAGAUGAUGACCCCCGAGAAUACCAGUAUGGAGACCACCAAGGUAUCGAUUACUAGGUUAACAGGCAGGAGGAGCUCAGUAUUUAGUUCAUUGUUUGUAUCCAGUGAGAACCAAGCUAGCCUUGAGUAAUUUUUAUCUCGUCUUCCUCAAACACUAUUAUGCUUAU